rnacentral:rRNA from 1 species
GAUGAACGCUGGCGGCGUGCCUAAUACAUGCAAGUCGAGCGAACGGACGAGAAGCUUGCUUCUCUGAUGUUAGCGGCGGACGGGUGAGUAACACGUGGAUAACCUACCUAUAAGACUGGGAUAACUUCGGGAAACCGGAGCUAAUACCGGAUAAUAUUUUGAACCGCAUGAUUCAAUAGUGAAAGACGGUCUUGCUGUCACUUAUAGAUGGAUCCGCGCUGCAUUAGCUAGUUGGUAAGGUAACGGCUUACCAAGGCAACGAUGCAUAGCCGACCUGAGAGGGUGAUCGGCCACACUGGAACUGAGACACGGUCCAGACUCCUACGGGAGGCAGCAGUAGGGAAUCUUCCGCAAUGGGCGAAAGCCUGACGGAGCAACGCCGCGUGAGUGAUGAAGGUCUUCGGAUCGUAAAACUCUGUUAUUAGGGAAGAACAUAUGUGUAAGUAACUGUGCACAUCUUGACGGUACCUAAUCAGAAAGCCACGGCUAACUACGUG